rnacentral:rRNA from 1 species
CUACGGGCGGCAGCAGUGGGGAAUAUUGGACAAUGGGGGAAACCCUGAUCCAGCAAUGCCGCGUGUGUGAAGAAGGCCUGCGGGUUGUAAAGCACUUUCGGUUGGGAGGACUGCUUCUAGCACUAAUAUUGUUGGAAGUUGACGUUACCUUCAGAAGAAGCACCGGCUAACUCCGUGCCAGCAGCCGCGGUAAUACGGAGGAUGCAAGCGUUAAUCGGAAUUACUGGGCGUAAAGCGCGCGUAGGCGGCUAGAUCAGUCGGGUGUGAAAGCCCCGGGCUUAACCUGGGAACUGCAUCCGUACUGUCUAGCUUGAGUACAGGAGAGGAGAGUGGAAUUCCACAUGUAGCGGUGAAAUGCGUAGAUAUGUGGAGGAACACCAAUGGCGAAGGCAGCUCUCUGGCCUGAUACUGACGCUGAGGUGCGAAAGCGUGGGGAGCAAACAGGAUUAGAUACCCGGGUAGUC